GCUCUGUUUGGGUGCCCGAGAGACGGAGUGCAUGCCCCUGCCCGGUCCGCGGCUGGCGGUUGUAAUCACCCCUGCCACCCCAAAACAGAUGUCCCGCAGCGGGAGAGAACGUGAGGCCACCCUCCGAGCUCGGGGGGGCACAUCUGCCAAGAGCCCUGAGAGCUUCUGGGAGCUGUGGACCAGUGAGACCUUCAGAAGGAGACCAGGCAAGGAUGGCAGUGGGUUGUGUGUCUGCACGUGGAUAUGUGCAGGUGCCUGUGGAGGCCAGAAGCAUCAGAGUUCCUGGAGCUGCAGUUAUAGACGGUUACAAGCUGCUUGAACUUGGAUCCUCCAGGAGAACAGCGCGUGCUCUUUGCUGAAGAGCCACCUCUCCGGACCCACAGCCUUGAAUUUCUGAACUUCCUGCCUCUACUGCCAGGUGCUAGGAUCCUAUGGUGUGCCAUCACAUGUGGGUUUCUGUAGUGCUGGGGGUCUGUCUCGGCUCUCUUCAUGCUAGGCAAGCACUCUAUCAACUCAACUACACAGCCUUGAAUGCCACUUCCUCCUGAGUGCUGGGAUUAAAGCCGCGCACUACCAUGCACAACC